UUGAGUAAAAGCAUGUUUUAUUCUCUUUUCACAGGUUAAGAAAUUAGAAGUGAAGGAAGGCUUCUGACACGACACAGGAGGUUUGCGUACUGCAGGCUGCUGGUGUACCAAAAGAAUUUUUACUCGUGCACUGUACGUGCGGGGAGUUUGCGACAGUCAAGGCUUUAGUGAAAUAAAAUGAGGAAACUGUGUGGGGACAACGGAUAGAAGACAGAAGGCGUUCGUUGGACGGCGAGGAAGUUGUCUGACAUCCAGGAAGCAGGCAGACGCCCGGUCAGGAAGGCAAGAGGAGCGGCAAGGAGACGUGCGGCCGACAGCAGCCCCGCAUGGGGACAGAGCAGGGAAGGGGACAGAGCAGGGAGGAGGCCUGAGGUUCAGCUGCGCGAAGCGAGGCCCGCCAGACCCUAACGGACGGGAGCCGGGCCUCCUUGGGGACCGCGAGCUCAGGAAAGAUGGCACGUUCGUGUCUGCAGUAAGUAUGACAUUAUUUGCAGAAAGCGGGGGCAGGAAUCUGCAGGAAGAGGGAGCGAGGUAGCAGAUCCCAAGACGAGCGUUUUGGUGGGGACACCCAGUAAAACCGGGGCUUCGCGAGGAAGCCGUCAAAGCCGCGGGUCUCCAAGCCGGGGAGGGUCUGGACCAGGGCGGACCAGAAACUCCUUCGGGAUUUUUCAGCAUCUGGGUGGCCAUUAAAGCCAUGGGUGUGGAUGAGUUCUUUCUGGGGGAGACUGGGAAAGAGUCCAGGAAUCAAAGGGCGCCGAAGCCCUGUGGAAGCCGAGUGAGCGGUGCGGGGGCGAAGAUGCUAGAAACCGGAGGCCCUUCUGCAUACACGCGUGUACCUCCAUCAGCCCUGUCUGCCCGUGUGCCGAGGGGAGGGUGAAGGUGCCCCCACAGCCCCUUCCAGCCCAGACUCAGGCGGUGGCCUCCCCCAGCUUCUCACGGGACGCCCGUUUCUGCAGAGCCCUGCCUCUGUUAGCUGGUUGCAAAACCAAAAUGAAGUGAGAGCAGCAAAACGCAAAUGGCAACAAGUAGGCUCUGUACAAGGACGGGAUAGCCAGUGACGACAGUUUUGCGUUUGGAGAGCGUCCCAGAGCAAGCAGAUCAGGUUACAGGUUCUGUAGCCAUCAUCCUGCACCCACAUCAUGUAUUCAUUCUGUGCGCUUUCGCCCUUUGUAUUCAUGGGAAGUAAGAGGCCUGCUGUACAAGCAAAUGUUUUCGUGGAAGAUUCGAUGCAAAAAUAUCCUCCUAAAUUUAUCUACUAAAAGGCCAAUUCCUAAGAGAACUGAAAAAAAUAAAUUCUUAAACAUAAGAGCAUGCGGGGUGCUCAUGUUUGUGUGCUUAUCUGCAGAAGGGCAGCAUCUUGUCUGUUUGACAGUGAAGGCCUCUCAGCUGUGCCCGGGCUGAGGCAGCUCCCCGGGUGUGCCCGAGAAAUGCCCGAGCAAAGGGCACAAGAAACUCAUUGGAGAAGGACCGUGAGAGGCAGUAUUUGUUCGAGUUAAAGGACCCAACCAAAGAGACUGAAAUCAGCCAAGCGCCACAGAAUCUUACUGCGCUGGGAUCAGCCCCAAGCCCAACUUGAAGCUGGAGACUUUAGAGGAACUUUCCGUCAAAGAAGGGCUUUCAUCAGCUUGAUGUUGGCUUCAGGUUGGAUUCUUGGGCUUCUUCGCUAACAUUGGGGUUUGGCGUGUUGGCGUGGAGAGCGCAGGAGGGAGGGACAGAUGAGGCUUAAGAACGUGUUAUUCUAUAACCAGUUUCAAAAAUAAUAUCAAUUAAGUGAGCUGUGUCUUGUGCCUUUUUUAAUGAUAAUUUUCAAGUGGGAAUUUAUGACAAGCAAAUACUGUGCUUGUAACUGGUGUUCAGAUAUCACAGACACAUUAGGCGAAGAGCAGCCAUUAAUAAUGCAAAGCGUCUUUCGUUCCCUUCCGUCCUAUCGCUAAAUACCUAGGAUGUUCGCGUGAACAGACGUGGUUCACGACCUGAAGAUAAUGGAGGGACAUUUACAAGGAUCACAAGCAGGCAUGGGGGUGAAUCAGUCACAUUAGAAUAGUCCCUCCAGAAGUUUCUGUUGUGGCUCAUCGGGUUCAGAACCCGACUAGGCUUCAUGG